rnacentral:rRNA from 1 species
GCCGCCGCGGUAAUACGUAUGUCGCGAGCGUUAUCCGGAAUUAUUGGGCAUAAAGGGCGUCUAGGCGGCCUGACAAGUCAGGGGUGAAAACCUGCGGCUCAACCGCAGGCCUGCCAUUGAAACUGUGAGGCUGGAGUACCGGAGAGGUGGACGGAACUGCACGAGUAGAGGUGAAAUUCGUAGAUAUGUGCAGGAAUGCCGAUGAUGAAGAUAGUUCACUGGACGGUAACUGACGCUGAAGUGCGAAAGCCGGGGGAGCGAACAGGAUUAGAUACCCCUGUAGUCCCUGUCUCUUAUACAC